rnacentral:rRNA from 1 species
AACGAACGCUGGCGGCAUGCCUAACACAUGCCAGUCGAACGAGACCUUCGGGUCUAGUGGCGCACGGGUGCGUAACGCGUGGGAACCUGCCUUUAGGUUCGGAAUAACUCAGAGAAAUUUGAGCUAAUACCGGAUGAUGUCUUCGGACCAAAGAUUUAUCGCCUUUAGAUGGGCCCGCGUUGGAUUAGCUAGUUGGUGGGGUAAAGGCCUACCAAGGCGACGAUCCAUAGCUGGUCUGAGAGGAUGAUCAGCCACACUGGGACUGAGACACGGCCCAGACUCCUACGGGAGGCAGCAGUGGGGAAUAUUGGACAAUGGGCGAGAGCCUGAUCCAGCAAUGCCGGGUGAGUGAUGAAGGCCUUAGGGUUGUAAAGCUCUUUUAACCGAGAUGAUAAUGACAGUAUCGGGAGAAUAAGCACCGGCUAACUCCGUG